GUGGGGAAUCUUGCGCAAUGGGCGAAAGCCUGACGCAGCCAUGCCGCGUGAAUGAUGAAGGUCUUAGGAUUGUAAAAUUCUUUCACCGGGGACGAUAAUGACGGUACCCGGAGAAGAAGCUCCGGCUAACUUCGUGCCAGCAGCCGCGGUAAUACGAAGGGGGCUAGCGUUGCUCGGAAUUACUGGGCGUAAAGGGCGCGUAGGCGGACAGCUUAGUCAGAGGUGAAAGCCCAGGGCUCAACCUUGGGAUUGCCUUUGAUACUGGCUGUCUUGAGUUUGGGAGAGGUGUGUGGAACUCCGAGUGUAGAGGUGAAAUUCGUAGAUAUUCGGAAGAACACCAGUGGCGAAGGCGACUACCUGGACUGAUACUGACACUGAGGUGCGAAAGCGUGGGGAGCAAACAGGAUUAGAAACCCGUGUAGUCC
rnacentral:rRNA from 1 species